CUUAAUUUAAGUUCACCUUCCGAUACAGGGAAUGCAAUCUUGGCAGCUAUUGGCAUUCUCGUUGCAUUGAAGCCUGUCGGUAUAAUACCUCCUUCAAUUAUGAACUUGAGGUCUUUUGCAAUCCCUGAAACUUGAGGGGGGUCUGGUAGUCGAUUUUGUGGAUUUGUGUCCACCAAAACAGCAAUACUAGGAUUAUCUUUCAUUUUUUUCCCUACUCCUUUCAGGUUUACCACAUGUGGGAUGCUGAACUUCUUGAAGUGUUCACGGUGUCCAAUGCCACUUGACAAUAGAAUUUGAGGGCUACCUAAUGCCCCGGCUGACAAUAUCACAUCGCCAUUUGAAG
rnacentral:lncRNA from 1 species